rnacentral:rRNA from 1 species
AGUGAACGCUGGCGGCAGGCCUAACACAUGCAAGUCGAGCGGCAGCGCGUCCGACCACCCUCGGGUGGUCGGAUGGCGGCGAGCGGCGGACGGGUGAGGAAUGCAUCGGAAUCUGCCUCGUUGUGGGGGGAUAACGUAGGGAAACUUAUGCUAAUACCGCAUACGACCUACGGGUGAAAGUGGGGGACCUUCGGGCCUCACGCGAUGAGAUGAGCCGAUGCCGGAUUAGCUAGUUGGCGGGGUAAAGGCCCACCAAGGCGACGAUCCGUAGCUGGUCUGAGAGGAUGAUCAGCCACACUGGAACUGAGACACGGUCCAGACUCCUACGGGAGGCAGCAGUGGGGGAAUAUUGGACAAUGGGGGCAACCCUGAUCCAGCCAUGCCGCGUGUGUGAAGAAGGCCU